rnacentral:misc_RNA from 1 species
UACGAAGGGGGCUGGCGUUGUUCGGAAUCACUGGGCGUAAAGCGUACGUAGGCGGAUUGUUAAGUCAGGGGUGAAAUCCCGAGGCUCAACCUCGGAACUGCCUUUGAUACUGGCGAUCUUGAGUCCGGGAGAGGUGAGUGGAACUCCUAGUGUAGAGGUGAAAUUCGUAGAUAUUAGGAAGAACACCAGUGGCGAAGGCGGCUCACUGGCCCGGAACUGACGCUGAGGUACGAAAGCGUGGGGAGCAAACAGG